rnacentral:lncRNA from 10 species
AGAGUACAAGGGGAAACUUACAGCAAAAUUUUCACUGUUGAUAGCUUUCCUGGGGAAGACAACACAUGCACAAAUCCUGGUGUUAGGAAUAUUUUAAGCAUAUAUCUGCAAUAUUAUUCAUCCAGGACUGAAGUAAGUCCUGAUGCAGGAAAUGAGUGAGUUUCACAGCUUUCUGAGCCCCUACUUGACCCAGGAAGCCCAGCUGGCACCUCCUCUCAGUUCCACAUUUACAGUUUUGGAGGCUAGAAGUAAAGAAGUCAAGGUGUUGUAAGGGGAGUGCUGUCACUAAAACAGGUUAUUUGAUAAUUAUCAAGCACUGUUCCAAGAAUGAGGAUUUCAGUAUUAGGAAUUCAGGAGCAGUUUGGUUUGACAGUUCUGAUUCUAGGAUUUUCAUGAGGUUGGCGUCAGAUCUCAGCUGGAGCUGCAGGCAUCUGAUGGUUUGAAGUUGGAGGAUCCAUCCCCAAGGUACCUCACCAAAAGAUUGUCAAUAAUGAAAUUUGUGAGGUUGGCUGACUUAUGGCUCGUGGAAUUGGUUUUGUGGAAUUCUCUCUUCUAACAGGUCUUCUACUCCUUAAGAUAGACAAGAUUGAUGAAAGACUGGAAAUGACUUUGCCUGGACCAUGAUUCAGCGACACUGUCCCUGUGGCAAGACUAUUGGCCAGGCUCAAACGCAGUGGCUGAUCCUCACUGACUCCUCUUCCUAAGGUUGUUGUACUAGGAGCAUCUCCUAACACUACACGGACACAAUUCAAUGACAAAAAUCAGAGAAGGAAAACAAAACAAAACUUCUGGAAUGCCUCUUCAUCUGUACUUAACAUCUGAAGCCUCUUCCACCUGAAUGAUGAAGAUGUCAAAUAUUCUCAGCCUCAAAUUAAUGUGUCAAGUACAUUGGAUUUGUAUCUUUGUGUUCUUUCCUAUCUUCUUAAAAAAUUGUGCUAAUUACAUUUUCAAAAAUUGUUGUUUUUCUAACAUAUUGGUUACAAUAUCAAUAUAUGUGGCUUAAUAAAAUAGUCUCUGAGAACAUGUGCUUUUCUGAAUGUGUCAGGUGGCAGCUUGCUUUUAACAAUAUUGUAAGUUUUUAUAAUCAGAUUUAAAUUGUGUUUAUCUAAAAUAUUUAUGAACAUUGAAUUUAUGGUGAACAAAGCAGAGUCUUCUUUCAAAUCGCAUGUAGUUAUGUUUCAAAUAUGUGAAAUUUUUGAAUACUUCAUUAAAAUUUUAUUUUAAUAGAACACAUUAAAU